AACGAACGCUGGCGGCGUGCCUAAUACAUGCAAGUUGAGCGCUGAAGGUUGGUACUUGUACCGACUUGAUGAACAGCUAACGGGUGAGUAACUCGUUGGGAAUCUCCCUUGGAGCGGGGGACAACUUUUGGAUACGAAUGCUCAUACCGCAUAAAAUCGUUAAACACUCGGUUUAAGUUUGAAAGAUUCAAUUGCAUCACUCAAAGAUGAUCCCGCGUGGUAUUAGCUAUUUGGUGAGGGAAAGGCUAACCACAGCGAGGAUACAUAGCCGACCUGAGAGGGGGAGCGGCCACACUGGGACGGAGACACGGCCCAAAAUACUACGGGAGGCAGCAGUAGGGAAUCUUCGGCAAUGGACGAAAGUGUGACCGAGCAACGCCGCGUGAGUGCAGAAGGUUGUCGGAUCGUAAAACUCUGUUGGUAGAGAAGAACGUUGGUGAGAGUGGAAAGCUCAGCAAGUGACGGUAACUACACAGAAAGGGACGGCUAACUACGUG
rnacentral:rRNA from 1 species